UCAAACUCCAUUACUCCCUUCCAUCAUCGGUCAAACUCUUUCUCCCUCAUUUCAUCUCCUUCACCAAAUCCUCAAAUUGAGAACAACUCUUCUUCCUCUGUUCUCUUCUUCAAAAAUUCCCCCAAUCUUCUUCUUCCUCUAAUUCCGUCGCCUCUCCCCAAGUCGGAGGUCACCGCUGCUGCCGCCGCUGCCACGAAUCCGCCAUCGCGAAUCCGCCGCCGUCGGCUUCUCUAACUUCUCAGCCACCGUCGCCGGCCGCUGCUCGCCGGGAGAAGACGCAGCGCCGUCGUCCUCGGUCCUCCCUGCAGUAAUUCCUGCCGCUGCAGUGCAGUCUCCUCGCCGGAGAUUGCUGUCGAUGCACGAAAUAGCCCCGCAAACGUUCGAACAGGCCCACAGCUGUCCGAACUCACCCCGAGACGCCCCAAGCAGUCCCCGAACCGCUCCGAAACAACCCAGAUUCACCCCGAAAGCGCCGAACAGCCCCCCGACAGCCCCGAAGAUAGAUGUAGGAUUGAAUGAGGAAGGUGGAAGGUUUGAAUGAUGGAGGGUCUCCAUGAAGAAGGAACCGGCGCAGGGGAAGAAAGAAGAAAGAAGAAUUUGGGCUUGCACCAACAAUUCCUAUGAAUGAAUUGGGCCCAAGAUAUCCCUUUUAAUUUAAUAGCUCCAAAGCCAUAUAGUAAAAUAAAACGUUGGACUUUAUUUAAUUGAGAAGCCCAACUUUUACUUUUCGCAUAA